rnacentral:rRNA from 1 species
AUAAGCAAAAUAAGGGCGUAUGGGGAAUGCCUAGGCUCUCAGAGGCGAAGAAGGACGUGAUAAGCUGCGAAAAGCUACGGGGAUUGGCACACACGAAUUGAUCCGUAGAUAUCCGAAUGGGGCAACCCAAUAUGUUGAAGACAUAUUAUCCUGUAUAGGAGGCGAACCCGCUGAACUGAAACAUCUAAGUAGGCGGAGGAGAAGAAAACAAAAGUGAUUCCGUAAGUAGUGGCGAGCGAACGCGGAAUAGCCCAAACCAAAGUUGUUACGGCAAUUUUGGGGUUGUAGGACCACGACAUUUCUUGCGGCUUGAAUUAGAAAUACCUGGAAAGGUAUACCAAAGAGGGUGACAGUCCCGUAUAAGUAAGAAAAGAUAAGAAUAGUGGUAUCCUGAGUAGGUCGGGGCACGUGAAACCCUGAUUGAAACUGGCGGGACCAUCCGCUAAGGCUAAAUACUCCUGAGAGACCGAUAGUGAACCAGUACCGUGAGGGAAAGGUGAAAAGAACCGUGAAUAACGGAGUGAAAAAGAUCCUGAAACCAUACGCCUACAAGCGGUCGGAGCCCCUUUGUGGGGUGACGGCGUGCCUUUUGCAUAAUGAGCCUACGAGUUACCGUUGCUGGCAAGGAUAAGGACUUCAGGUCUGGAUCNACCGUUGCUGGCAAGGAUAAGGACUUCAGGUCUGGAUCCGUAGCGAAAGCGAGUCUGAAUAGGGCGCUUUAGUCAGUAGUGGUAGACGCGAAACCGUGUGAUCUACCCAUGGGCAGGUUGAAGUUUAGGUAACACUAAAUGGAGGACCGAACCGUUUAACGCUGAAAAGUUUUCGGAUGACCUGUGGGUAGGGGUGAAAGGCCAAUCAAACUCGGAAAUAGCUCGUACUCCCCGAAAUGCAUUUAGGUGCAGCGAUGAUCAUAGUUACUUAGAGGUAGAGCUACUGAUUGGAUGCGGGGGCUUCACCGCCUACCAAUUCCUGACAAACUCCGAAUGCUAAUUAAUGAUAAUCAUCAGUGAGGGCAUGGGUGCUAAGGUCCAUGUCCGAGAGGGAAAGAACCCAGACCAUCAGCUAAGGUCCCCAAAUGUAUGCUAAGUUGAAAAAACGCGGUUUGAUUGCCCAGACAGCUAGGAUGUUGGCUUGGAAGCAGCCAUUCAUUUAAAGAGUGCGUAACAGCUCACUAGUCGAGCGAUCGAGCAUGGAUAAUAAUCGGGCAUAAGUAUACUACCGAAGCUAUGGAUUUACGUUUUAUAACGUGAGUGGUAGGGGAGCAUUCUAUCGGCAGAGAAGGUGAUUUGUGAGAAUUGCUGGAGCUUAUAGAAAAGAAAAUGUAGGCAUAAGUAACGAUAAGGGGUGCGAGAAACACCCCCGCCGUAAGACUAAGGAUUCCUGAGCUAUGCUAAUCAGCUUAGGGUUAGUCGGGACCUAAGGCACACCCGAAGGGGGACGUCGAUGGCCAACGGGUUAAUAUUCCCGUACUACUUAUAACAGUGAUGGAGUGACACAGUGAUGAAAGCACCGCGAACUGACGGAAUAGUUCGUUGAAGCACGUACCUAUAGGUUUGAUAGUAAAAUGCGUCAGACUUGGAGAAAUGCGAUAGUACUCAGCGUCUACGGACAAAGAGAUAGUGUGCCUAAGGGCUGUCAAGAAAAGCUUCUAAACAUAGGUUAUAAGUACCCGUACCGUAAACCGACACAGGUAGUCGAGGAGAGUAUCCUAAGGCGCUCGAGAGAUUCAUGGCUAAGGAACUAGGCAAAAUAGACCUGUAACUUCGGGAGAAAGGUCGCCAGCGCAAGCUGGCCGCAGUGAAGAGGUCCAGGCGACUGUUUAUCAAAAACACAGGGCUCUGCAAAAUCGUAAGAUGACGUAUAGGGCCUGACACCUGCCCGGUGCUGGAAGGUUAAGAGGAGAUGUUAUCGAUGAGUAAUUGUUGAGAAGCAUUGAAUUGAAGCCCCAGUAAACGGCGGCCGUAACUAUAACGGUCCUAAGGUAGCGAAAUUCCUUGUCGGGUAAGUUCCGACCUGCACGAAUGGUGUAACGAUCUGGACACUGUCUCAGCCAUGAGCUCGGUGAAAUUGUAGUAUCGGUGAAGAUGCCGAUUACCCGCAGUGGGACGAAAAGACCCUGUGCACCUUUACUAUAGCUUAGUAUUGUUCUCGGAUAAGUGAUGUGUAGGAUAGGUGGGAGACUGUGAAAUGGCGUCGCUAGGCGUUGUGGAGUCAUUGUUGAAAUACCACCCUUUGCUUAUUUGAGAUCUAACUCCGCAAUUGUGGAGGACAUUGCUUGGUGGGUAGUUUGACUGGGGUGGUCGCCUCCAAAAGAGUAACGGAGGCUUCUAAAGGUUCCCUCAGCACGCUUGGUAACCGUGCGUAGAGUGCAAUGGUAUAAGGGAGCUUGACUGAGAGACUAACAAGUCGACCAGGUACGAAAGUAGAGCAUAGUGAUCCGGUGGUUCCGCAUGGAAGGGCCAUCGCUCAAAGGAUAAAAGGUACGCCGGGGAUAACAGGCUGAUCUCCCCCAAGAGCUCAUAUCGACGGGGGGGUUUGGCACCUCGAUGUCGGCUCGUCACAUCCUGGGGCUGGAGAAGGUCCCAAGGGUUGGGCUGUUCGCCCAUUAAAGUGGCACGCGAGCUGGGUUCAGAACGUCGUGAGACAGUUCGGUCUCUAUCUACUGUGGGCGUUAGAAAUUUGAGUGGAUCUGAUUCUAGUACGAGAGGACCGAAUUGGACCAACCUCUAGUGCAUCUGUUGUCUCGCCAGGGGCAUCGCAGAGUAGCUACGUUGGGCAGGGAUAAGCGCUGAAAGCAUAUAAGUGCGAAACCCACCACAAGAUGAGAUUUCUUUAAAGGGCCGUGGGAGAUUACCACGUUGAUAGGCUAUAGAUGUAAAGGCAGUAAUGUCAUAGUCGAGUAGUACUAAUAGCCCGUAAGCUUAUGUGAAU